rnacentral:sRNA from 1 species
GAGGGAAACGAUCCAGAUGAGCCAAUCGCCGUAUGGAUGCUUGCCAAUGAUGCUCAAUCAACAGAACGAAAAGACUUCCGCCGUCUUCCGGCUCUUGUAACAACUCAAAUUUUCAAAUUUGAUUGCUCGAAAUCCUCGGAAAUUUGCGAUGAGCUUCUGGAUAAAACUAAGCUCCCGCAGUUUAUGGUUUUCAAGACAACUGGAGGAUAUGAAAUUGAUUAUGCUGGAUCAAAGGAUUUCCACGCGGCGAGCACAUUCAUUCGAGAAGCUUCAAAGUCGCAUAUUCAUGUGCUCAAUCGGGAUUCGUAUGAGUAUGCGAUUAGUGGUGGAGAAUUUUAUAUUAUCGAUUAUUUUGCGCCG